rnacentral:rRNA from 1 species
AUGGUAGGAUAGAGGCCUACCAUGGUUUUAACGGGUAACGGGGAAUUAGGGUUCGAUUCCGGAGAGGGAGCCUGAGAAACGACUACCACAUCCAAGGAAGGCAGCAGGCGCGCAAAUUACCCAAUCCCGACACGGGGAGGUAGUGACAAUAAAUAACAAUAUGGGGCUCUUACGAGUCUUGUAAUUGGAAUGAGUACAAUUUAAAUCUCUUAACGAGGAACAAUUGGAGGGCAAGUCUGGUGCCAGCAGCCGCGGUAAUUCCAGCUCCAAUAGCGUAUAUNAAAGUUGUUGCAGUUAAAAAGCUCGUAGUUGAAUUUCGGGAUUUAUCCGUCGGUCGGGCUUUUGGGUUUGUACUGGCGUGAUGGAUUCCUACCUUCUGAAUAACCGGCAUGUCAUUAAUUUGGUGCGCCGGGGAAGCAGGACUGUUACCUUGAAAAAAUUAGAGUGCUUAAAGCAGGCUUAUGCCUGAAUACAUUAGCAUGGAAUAAUGAAAUAGGACGGCAUGGUUCUAUUUUGUUGGUUUCUAGGAUCACCGUAAUGAUUAAUAGGGAUAGUUGGGGGCAUUAGUAUUCAAUUGUCAGAGGUGAAAUUCUUGGAUUUAUUGAAGACUAACUUCUGCGAAAGCAUUUGCCAAGGAUGUUUUCAUUAAUCAAGAACGAAAGUUAGGGGAUCGAAGACGAUCAGAUACCGUCGUAGUCUUAACCAUAAACUAUGCCGACUAGGGAUCGGACGAUGUUAAUUUUUUAAUGACUCGUUCGGCGCCUUACGGGAAACCAAAGUGUUUGGG